rnacentral:rRNA from 1 species
UACGGAGGGUGCGAGCGUUGUCCGGAAUCACUGGGCGUAAAGGGCGCGUAGGUGGCCUGUGGAAGUCUGCGGUGAAAGCCCGGCGCUCAACGCCGGGUCGGCCGUGGAUACUCUCGGGCUCGAGCUUACUAGAGGCAGAUGGAAUUCCGGGUGUAGCGGUGGAAUGCGUAGAGAUCCGGAAGAACACCGGUGGCGAAGGCAGCGCCCUGGGCGAGACCUGACGCUCAGGCACGAAAGCUGGGGGAGCAAACAGG